rnacentral:lncRNA from 1 species
GAUGAAUUUACCAACACUUUCUUAGUUAAAGACACAAGUUACAUAUUAUAAUCAACCCCCUCUAGGUCCGGGGUUCCUCACUAUGGACCGCUUUCAUGUACCGUCACCCUGAGUUUCAGUUUGCUGAGCUGGGCUUGGGGGUAAAGUCGGGCCAUUUAGUGGUCUGGCUGUUUGGUGUGGAGUGGACUUCCCCUAAAAUGGACCUCAGCUUGUUGCAGUGGCACACGUUGUGCAUAACCUGGUCGCACACCAAAGAUAGACCUGCUCUGUAUGUUAAUGGAGACCCUGUGGACCUCAGCACAGCUCAUGGCAUGAUAACCCCCUCUAAACUGGCCCCAGGUGGCUCGCUUACUCUGGGUGCAAGUCACACGCUGGUCAACGGGAAUAUCCAGAUCAUUCCAAUUGCCAGCAUGCAGGGCAAAUUAUCUCUGUUUCGUAUAUGGGUGCGAGAACGCAGCAGACAGCAAGUGACGUUACUGAGCUGCACAGAGGGGGACCUGGUGAAGUGGGAGAGGAACAACUGGGACACUCAGACCUGCGCGCCACUCAAGGAUUCCAGCCUGCAGUGUGAGUGGUCCAUUUACAAAGUGAUACUGGUGUUUGCCAUCAUCCGACAUGACGGGAAUAACACAGAGGUCGACAAAGCCAAAGACAUCGCACGCAACUGGGUAAAACAAACAUUCACCAGUUUUAAUCUGACUGGAAUAUUUAAACUGUCGAUUCUUGAGAUUAAGAAAGACAAAAAAGUGUCUAAGCUACGAACAAGUGAGUUUUGAAC